GACGAACGCUAGCGGCGUGCCUAAUACAUGCAAGUCGAACGCUUUUUCUUUCACCGGAGCUUGCUCCACCGAAAGGAAAAGAGUGGCGAACGGGUGAGUAACACGUGGGUAACCUGCCCAUCAGAAGGGGAUAACACUUGGAAACAGGUGCUAAUACCGUAUAACACUAUUUUCCGCAUGGAAGAAAGUUGAAAGGCGCUUUUGCGUCACUGAUGGAUGGACCCGCGGUGCAUUAGCUAGUUGGCGAGGUAACGGCUCACCAAGGCAACGAUGCAUAGCCGACCUGAGAGGGUGAUCGGCCACACUGGGACUGAGACACGGCCCAGACUCCUACGGGAGGCAGCAGUAGGGAAUCUUCGGCAAUGGACGAAAGUCUGACCGAGCAACGCCGCGUGAGUGAAGAAGGUUUUCGGAUCGUAAAACUCUGUUGUUAGAGAAGAACAAGGAUGAGAGUAAAAUGUUCAUCCCUUGACGGUAUCUAACCAGAAAGCCACGGCUAACUACGUGCCAGCCGCCGCGGUAA
rnacentral:rRNA from 1 species